rnacentral:rRNA from 1 species
CGCGUAGGCGGUUGGGUAAGUCGGAUGUGAAAGCCCUGGGCUUAACCUGGGAAUUGCAUUCGAUACUGCCCGGCUAGAGUAUGGGAGAGGGAAGCGGAAUUUCCGGUGUAGCGGUGAAAUGCGUAGAUAUCGGAAGGAACACCAGUGGCGAAGGCGGCUUCCUGGCCCAAUACUGACGCUGAGGUGCGAAAGCGUGGGGAGCGAACAGGAUUAGAUACCCUGGUAGUCC